AUGGGCAUCUUCCCUAUGAUUUUCUCUCUAUUGGUACUCAGGUCACUAGGAAAGCCAAUAGCUCUGGUAUCUGGAGGUGUAACAAGCCAUCGGAGCCCCGAAGGGAACUGGGCGCAACCAUCCCGUGCCGGUGCCACGCUGCAUGGCUGCCUGAAGAGCUGCGGCAAGCUGAGCUUCACGUAUCCCUUUGGCAUCGGAUCCAGGUGCUCGGGCGGGCCUGACUUCAACCUCAUUUGCAACGACACCGCUCAUCCACCGAGGCUCUUCUUGCGCGACGGCAUCACUGAGGUGAUCAAAUUUGGCAAUCCUACUUUAUUAAAUUCAAUCUGGGCCUCCGUCUCCCAUACCAUCCCCAUACAACCUGGUGUCAGUGUCUACAACUUGUCUUUGAAACCGCCUGGGAGAUCCUUCCAUCUUCAUUCCAUUGCUCUAAAGAUAGCUGGCUGUGACCUGGAGGUGUACUCCAUCGAAGAGAACUCCGUUAAGUCAAUCUGUGCAACUGUGUGCCCAGAUCCAGAAAUCAAUCUCGUUGAUUCAGGUAUUACAGAAAUUAAUAGGAAGAAACAGCAGAAUCUACUGUUAGGUAUAAUUGUUGGGCUGUCCUGUGGUUUCGGUGUCCUACUUAUGAGCUUCAGUGUAGUGCUUCUCACUCGUAGAUGGAAAAUAAAUGUUCAAAAGCAACUACGGAAUAACUAUUUCCGAAAGAACCAAGGUCUUCUCCUAGAAACACUGAUAUCAUCUGAUGAAAGUGCAAACGAGAAUACAAAGAUUUUCUCAUUAGAAGAGCUGGAGAAGGCAACAAAUAACUUUGAUCCUACACGUAUCAUCGGACGUGGGGGUCAUGGCAUGGUUUACAAAGGCAUAUUAUCCGAUCAGCGUGUCGUUGCAAUAAAAAAGUCUAAGGUCAUUGAGGAGUCUGAGAUCAGUCAAUUCAUCAACGAGGUUGCAGUCCUCUCUCAAAUAAAUCACAGAAAUAUUGUGAAGCUCUUUGGAUGUUGUCUCGAAACUGAGGUUCCACUGCUGGUGUAUGAUUAUGUAUCCAGUGGCUCACUGUCUGAAGUCCUUCAUGCAGAUUCAAGUGAUGGUUUUUCUUUGUCUUGGGGUGAUUACUUAAGGAUUGCCCUAGAAACAGCAGGAGCUCUGUCUUAUCUCCACUCUUCAGCUUCAAUAUCAAUCUUCCAUCGUGAUGUGAAGUCCUCAAAUAUACUUUUGGAUGGGAACUACACAGCUAAAGUGUCAGAUUUCGGUGCAUCCAGAUUGGUUCCGAUUGAUCAAACACACAUUGUCACGAAUGUGCAAGGUACAUUUGGGUACUUAGAUCCAGAGUAUUUCCAUACUAGGCAGCUGAACGGGAAGAGUGAUGUGUACAGUUUUGGUGUGGUACUAGUGGAGUUGCUUCUCAAAAUGAAGCCUGUUUUCACAAGUGAAUCAGGCACAAUCAAGAGCUUGUCGAACUAUUUCCUCCAGGAGUUCAAUGAGGGAAGAAUCACAGAUAUUGCUAAUUCUCAGGUGCUUGAGGAAGCACCUGAGAUCAAUGAUGUUGCCUCUCUUGCAGAGCGGUGCUUGAGGCUACACGGCGAAGAAAGACCAACCAUGAAACAGGUUGAGACAGAACUGCGGACAUUACGGACAAAACGGAUGAACUCAUCUCAUCCUGAUUCAAGAAAUGGAGAACAGACGCAACCAAGGUCGUUAACUCAAAGGAGUAGAUCUGCUCGGCAAUUGUCCGCACAGCCAGGAGGUAGCCAACGACGCUACAGCUUGGAGGCAGAGUUCUUGUCAUCUGCUAGCCUACCACGCUAG
rnacentral:rRNA from 1 species